rnacentral:rRNA from 1 species
GUACCCAAAGUUAUCUUAGCCAACCCGCAAGGGAGGUGGACGGCCAAGGUGAAGCCUCUGACUGGGACUAAGUCGUAACAAGGUAUCCGUAGGUGAACCUGCAGAAGGAUCA